rnacentral:sRNA from 1 species
AUUUACCUGAACAACAAGGAGGAGAUAGGCCAUAGUGUUAUUUCAAAGCGGGAUUGUUAAACUAAAAUAUUUUACAAUGAAUCAACAGUGAGUUAAUGAAUUUAAAUUCAGCGACGAUGAGAAGACAGAUAGUUCUCGCUAUCAUUUUAUUUUCAUGUUUAGUGUUUGUGAAUGGAGAAAAUACUACUUCAAAUACUCAAACGGGUCCAACUGACACAAGUUUGGGAGAGGAAUCGGCCCUUGAAAAGGGAGCGAAACCUUUAUAUGAUCUGGUGCAUGGAUUUUUAGACAGUGUUCAAGAAUAUGAUUUUAUUGCUGACGACAGUGCUAAAAUAACAUAUCAACAAAUAGAGGGCUACAUAAAAAAUGGCACCUUUGAAAAGUUUUCAGAAAGAUGGCAGGAUAUGGUGUCUGUAUUUGGGGGGUUUGCAGCCUGUAUUAUCGUUGGGUUGCUGUUUGCCAUUUUUAUGCCCAUCAUCGGUUUGUUCUUCUGUUGCUGCUAUUGUUGCUGCAAACGAUGUGGCAAAGCCAGAGAGAAAUCAGAUCCUAAAUCAGCUGGCUGCAAACGAGCAACCUAUUGCUUCUUUUUGGCCGUAUUUGCAACCAUGAUGUUAACUGGAGGAAUAGUAUCCAUAAUCUCCAAUGAGUUAUUGCACAACAAACUGCAGAACUCAGAUCAGCGGGGACCAAUCCAGUACUUGAGAUAUGGGCUAGCAGAAAGUUUGGAAGAAGAUACAAAGGGGAUAGUGAGGGAAACAAUUAAUGACAUAAAACAACAAAUUAACGGUUCUGUGAAGUCUACAGUGGAUGGUGUGAAGUCCUCCAUCAAUGCCUCGGUCUUGCUGACUCAGACAGAGAAUCUGGGGAAAAGAGCAAAGAAAGUUUAUGAUGAUUUAGUCAACAUAACAGGGAAUUUAGAGGAAUUAAAAACCCUGCAAUCAAAUCUGAGCGACAAAAUUAAUGAAAUUAACACAAAUUUCACAAGUGCCUGUGGAUCAACCCAUCCAAAUUGCCCUCAGCUACCACCUCUCUCAAACGAUUUCACAGUGGUGAAUAAUCUUACUGAUGAGAUCAAUAAAACGAAAGAUGCCUUGGAUAUUUCUUCUUUAACAGAGCAGGCAAAUAAGCAAUUUGACAAAGUGGCUAAUGAGACUUUUCAUCACCUACAAGACAAAAUAAAUGAGGCCCUCAAUAAGUCUGAUGAUAUAGAGAAAGAGAUAAACAGUAAAAUACACGAGCUUACAGAUUCUGUGAAGCAGUUGACAGAGAGUAUAAAAGGCAACACCUCAAAAGAAAUAGACAAUAUUGACGAUUUUUUAAAGAAGAAUGCAGAUUAUGUAUGGUACGGCGGUCUAGGUCUGCCCUGUGUGAUCUUUCUGUCGGUGGUCUUCUAUUACCUGGGUAUCCUCUUUGGUCUCUGUGGACAGCGACCAGGCCACGACGCCCCAUGCUGUAACCGAGGAACUGGCUCCAACUUCAUUGUUGGUGGAGUGGUGUGGACGUUCUUGAUUUUCUGGUUGUUGAUGUAUAUCGUCAUGAUCCUGUUUAUAGUAGGAGGACUCCUCUACACAAAUGGCUGCCGUAACUUGAACAAGGGUGUGGAAAACAUUGGGAAGUAUGAAGCUCUUUUGCAGAAUUAUGGCCUUGAUAUCAAGAACACAUUGAAUUACAGUUCCAGUUCCAACUUUUCUAUUGAACAAGCUCUUAUAGACUGUAAGAAUAAUAAAGGACUGUAUAUGGCUUUGGAGUUACAAAAUAGAUUUAACCUCGAUACAUUACUGGAUACAACCGAUGUCAUAAAGGAAAUCGAAGAUCUAACCAACAGUAAUAACUUCAACAUUAAUGACAUUACUAUUCUGUCAUCCAGUUUGAAUCAGUCACUUUCAGACUUUGCAAAUUCAGGAAUCACCCUGAUCAACUUUACUUCAUACGAAGAACAGUUACACAAAGAUCCAAUCACAAAUCUAAGUGGAAUUAUUGAUGAAUUAGAAGCAGCCAAGUUGAAUGAACAAGCAGAAAUGAUUAGAUCUCUUAACAAUACAGAACUUAAAGAUUUUGGACAGAAAAUGAAAGAAUUGAGGCAAAGUCUUGAUAAUCUGAAGAAUCAGUCUGAUUUACAGAAAGAAGUUGGGAAUCUACAAACUCUGCUUAAAGAAACAGAGAACAACUUUAAUUCAAAUAAGGAUAAACUUAUUGAAAAGGAAUUAAACACAUCAAUUGCCAAUGUCACAGACAUUGUCAAACGUGGGUUAGAAAAAGCCAAGAAUGACACAAAGCAUGCUGGAGGGUGUAAACCUUUGUAUAAUGCUGCCCAGGCCUUGACAGAUUCUGUGUGUGUUGUUGCUCUCAAUCCAUUUAAUACAUUCUGGUUUGGAUUGGGCUGGGGAAUAUUUUUCUCGAUCCCAAGCAUAGUCUUUGCCUUGUUGCUGGCAAACAUGUACCAGAGAGAGGACCCAUUUGACAAAGAAUUGCACGAAGCCAAGAAGAAGAGUCGGCAAAAGCAGGAGCACCAGGACUUUGAUAGUCCAAUGAUGGAGACCUACGGACACCAAGACAACAUCCCACUGACCUCCCCUCCCAAUGGUGGAUAUGCACGGUCAAACAAUGGGGAGGUCAACCCAGGCUACUACAAUGAUCGCCGCAGGGUGAGAGAGACUACCCCCCUCCUUCCUAUCACGAUUCACGACACUACCCUAGCCCAGGGCAUCGUGACGGAUACCCUGUGCUACCACCCACAAAGAACCGAUACUAAUUAUCUGCUCUAUCCGGAGACUGGUGACCAAAACUAACUUCUAGGAAUUAGGAAUUACCAGAAGAAUUAAUUACAAGGAUCAGCUGUGAUAUUAUAUAUAUCUCUCAAACAAAAUCCACAAUGCCCAAGAAGUUUACCAGUGUAGGAGAGAGAGAGAGAGAGAGAGAGAGAGAGAGAGAGAGAGAGAGAGAGAGAAGAAGUCAUCCGUUUGAUUGUUGUUUCUCUUGGAGGAAAAUCCAGUACUUUGUUCAUUGUUGUCACAUUGGAUUUUCCUUUUUUUUAUCCAGUUGUCCGAUUUUUUUCAAGGAUGAUUUAUAAUAUCAAUAUACCCGGUAGAUAAGAUGGAUGUUGCAUGAAGUCCAGCUGUUGCUUUAGUGUGAAAUAUAUUGCUUUGGUAAAUACUUUUUCACUUAAUAUGAGAAUCUUUUUAGUUUUUUCUCUGAAUUUAUUUGACAACCAAUUUCUUUUCUUCUUGUUUAAACAUAUAAGAUUGUUUUAUUUCAGUUUCUCUCUAUUAUCAAAGCUAUUUUCGACUUGUUUUGCUCACAAAAUUUUUUUACAACCAAUGUAUACAGUCUUUUCUUGCGUUUUGAUACCAUUCCAACAAAUUGCAAAGCUCAAAACUCCAAACAUUUUUUUUGUGUUUAUUUUCAUUCCAUUACAUUAACGGGUCAGCUAUAACCAGACUAUUUCUUUCAUUUCUUUGUCUUUAUUUGAUUAUUCUUUUGAUUGUUUAAUUUUAUUUUGUACCAUGUGUUUGAAUGUGGGAGCAAGAAUCAGAAGAAAGUUGUUUUGUUAGAAUGGUGCUACAUUAAAUAUGGCUGCCAUUUCUGCUUCUAAUAUAAGUGAUUACUUUUUCAGUAGAACAAUUUUUAUCAAAGCCUUUCCAAAUGCAUCUUGGGGUGGUUGCCAUAUAACCAAAUAUAUGUACGCUUCAUAACCUUGAUGAUAAAUUUGUUCAUAUUGCAUUGAAUUCAAUCAAUGUACAAUGUAUAAAAUUUACUUGUAUGAGAAUACAUGUACAUGUAUGUACUGGUAUUUGUGACAAUUUUAUACACAGUUUUAGAGAAAUAUUUUAUUUGAAUAUUCUUGCAACUAUUAAUAGACAAUUUUUAUUUUUAUAUCUGCAGAGAGAGAGAUUUUCAAAAGCAUAUCAAAUGUACUAUGCAAUUAUCGAUAACUAAAAUUUUUUUUUUUUUUUUGGAAACAAGAAAUUCUAUGGAGAUUGAUGGAGAUAGAGACAAUAUGUUUUUAAAGAUUGAAUGACAUACAUGUAUAGGCAUAAAUACUGGUACUUAAUACUGUUUAUGGAGUAACUUUACAGGAGUUCAAUGUCCACCAUACAGUAUGUUGUCUCGUCUUUUCUUUUUUCUUUUUUAAAAUAACCCUUGAAAAAAUAAAAACCAACAAAUUUAUUUUUUUUUUUGGCAAAAUGUCUCCCAUACAUGAACUAACUAAAAUCCAUCAACCAUUUUAUUGGUGCAGAUCAUGUAAGGUAUGUUGUGAUUUUAUGGAUGUUGAGUACAUUUGUAUAUUAAUUCUUUUAAUAUGCAACAAUAUCUUGCCAGAAUAUAUAUAUAUGUGAGGAAACUUUGUCAAACCAUUAAGAAAAUGUUACGUUAAGAUUUUCACAACAUGUGUGUUCAUAUUAAAGAUGCUUAUAUAUACACAGAUGAAAGGUUCACAUUUAUGGUAUAUAGUUAUUACAAUGUAAUUCUACCUUUCAUAUGUUAAAGUUUGUUCCCUUUUUGUUAACCUACAUGUAUACUCAUUGGUAGCUGUAUUUUGUUGUUAAUUUUCAUUAUGAAUGAAUUUCAACUGUUAUUUGCAUGAGUGCAAUAUAGAUUGACAGAAAUGAACUAUUAAUAUUAAUUAAACGAUUGCUUUUCAUAGAUGAAAAGGAGAAUAUACCAAAUCAUUUAUACAUUGGUGUCUAUUGAUAACAAAGUACAUUGUAAUGCCAAACGUUCAAUUUUAACUGGAUGGAAAAUGGAAAGAUUCUUAAAUGAAGUAUAUGUAUUUCAUAAUUAAUAAUAUUUACAUGUUUAUGUUUUAACCAGAAAUUAAUAUGAUCAGAGUUUGUCAAAGUAUACUUGGUCAUUUUUUUUUAUAAAUUUUGACAAAUUUAUUAAGUCUAUAUAAUUAUGUCAUUCUUGAAUAUUGUACAAUCCAUCUUUUUAAAAACUUUUAUCUUGUUUAUUGUGAUUACAUAUUGUACAUGUAAAUAUUAAAAUUAUUUUCACAUACAGUAUAACAUCUGACAAAUGGCUAACAGCUCCAGAGAUCAGGAGCUUGGGAUCAUGCUAUUCUACAUGUAGCUUUAGAUAAUGCUUGCUAGUGUUUUGGGAACACAAAUGGGAUUUUCCCCCUUUAUAUUUUUUGACCAAAAUUAUAGUUUUUAAUUAAGAAAGGAAAUGAAAUAUACAAUUGGUCAUGGGCUUUUUGUCUUUAGAUAGUUGCUGUAUGUAACUGAGAAUGUCAGAAUGGAUAAAAGAAACUCAAAAGAAAUAAUAGAUAUAUUUAAGAAUGGAUAUUUAAAAGAUAAGUACCGGUAAUGCAAGGUACUAUGGAUCCUACACAUUGUUUCUAUGUAAAUAGUUUUCUAAACAUGGGGCUUUUAGUUUCUGUUGCUUAAAGUAAAUGUUUUAAAUGUGAUAAUUUUUUAAUGCUUUAAAAGAAGAAGUAAAGUGUUUUAGCUAAUAUCACAAAUGUAUUUUCAUUGUUUGGAAGGAUGUACCAUAAAAAGCUCAAACCAAAUUCACAUAAUGUUUGGUUAUUUACAUGUAAAUACAUGUAUGUGUUUUGCAUCUGCAUGUAAGUAGAUUAUUUUGUAGCCCAGAGUUCGCCUUAGAAUGUACGCUAUUGAUAGUGAUUACAAGGUUUUAACCAGAUUCUAGAAUGUGAUAAAUCACGCACCGUCCUUCUUCUUAAAAGGAUUCUUAUUUUUUCAAAUUCAUAUUUUGGACGAUGGAGCCAUUGUAGGUGUGGAAGGUUGUGAUAAAUGCAUAAUAAUUGAUUUAUUGUUUGAUCUCACUCUCUAUGGCAAUCUUUUUAUCUUUACCUUAAUGCAAAUUAUUUUUUUUCUGCGUAAACUAGUAUAUUGUGUAAAAUGUAUCCAAUAUUUAAUAUACGGUAUUAACCAAUUCUGUCGUAGCUCAUAAUGAUCCUAUUUCUGUAUUAAUGUCAUGAAAGUACAUGUAUGAUUGUUAUGAAACAAAAUUACAACACUUGUUGUGCCUUCAUGUGAACUGGGACCAGGUUUUAAUGAGUCCUACCAAACAUUCCACCAAUUCCUCAAAAUCUUUUUCUUUUAAUCUCUGUGUUAUGUCAAAUUAUUUAGGUUGGUUCAUUUAACUAUGUAUUUCAUGCAAUUACAAAUGUCUGAAUGUUGUAUUCAUCUAUCAAUAAAUCAUAGGUUUAAUCAAUAC